UACGAAGAGGGCUAGCGUUGCUCGGAAUUACUGGGCGUAAAGCGCACGUAGGCGGCUCUUUAAGUCGGGGGUGAAAUCCUGGAGCUCAACUCCAGAACUGCCUUCGAUACUGUAGAGCUUGAGUUCGGGAGAGGUGAGUGGAACUGCGAGUGUAGAGGUGAAAUUCGUAGAUAUUCGCAAGAACACCAGUGGCGAAGGCGGCUCACUGGCCCGAUACUGACGCUGAGGCGCGAAAGCCAGGGGAGCGAACGGG
rnacentral:rRNA from 1 species